rnacentral:lncRNA from 1 species
CUAAUGGGUGGUUAAACAAAUUAAAGCAGAAACUUCAGAAAGCAGAUCAUUUCCCAAAGUCCUUCCAUUUUACUGAUAGGUAACGGAAGCCACAAGAAAUGGAACCUUCUCCAUGGCCAGUUACUAAGAAGAGCUACCAGCAGUUCCUCGUUCAACUGCCAGGAGUAAAUUUGCUUUUCAUAGCCAGACAGCUGCAGAGGCAGAGAAAAAUGCAGAGGCCCAAAUGGGAGGCGUGUAUUCAGAAGCCCGACCUGCGGGAAAGGUCCCAGGCAGCGACCCGAGCACCGAGCUUUCCCUUACAUUAUGCACAACCUGGAUAUUUGGACCUGCUGCUCAGUGGAUCCUGUCCUUCUGUGAAGGUGUCAUUAUACACUUAAAAAAAUGCACUUGCAUGAUACGCAUUCCAAGAAAUUACCUUAAGAUUUGUUUCACCAUUAAAGUGACAUUCCCAGCUGUGCUCCAAUCAACUGGAUAAAAGCAGAGAACCCAUCAGAAGUUGUUCCUGGUUGACUAUCACCUUUCAAAGUAUGUGUGUGUGGGAAAAAGCCCUCAUCCCUCUCCACUAUUGUUAAAAAUA